ACUUCUCCAAGGUCUAUAAAACUUUAGUCCCUUAUUGUGCCACCUCACUGAAGUUUUAAGCUCUUUUGAAGAUUCAGAUAGAAGGUUUCUGCAAGCCUUGAUGGCGAGGUCCCAUGCCCUCUUGGCCUGGCUGAAUGAGUCCUCAGAGUUGCUAGAAGCUCCUGAGAACCAAAGCCUCUCAAUAUCAACCUUUACGCUCCUCACAAACUCCUCUCCACAGUUUCUGUCAAGAACCAGAAUGAACAUAAAGACAGCUCUGCUAAAAAGACCUGGCCAAAGACUUCAGCAGUCCCCUGUUGGUAGAAGAACUAAUAAUAAAUGCCAAUACUAUUGUAUGGCUACAUACAGUUCUGGGCCAAGUCACACAGGUGACAGUCUAGAUGGGAGUCUGACAUUCAGUCAGCAAACACACCGAUCCCAAGCCACGACAAGUCAACUGAGGAGCAAGUUUUUAAAAGAUUCUACAACUUUUGGAAGCAUCAGGAGCCAUAGAGUCAGGUGCCUUGGUGUGGUCCCAGUCCAUGGCUCACCAGCUAUGGUUCUCCAACAGGUAAUGAAGCUUCCAGUGCCUCUGCUACAACACUAAAUCCCACCUUACAUGAUGUGAAAUUAAUUAAAAUAAUAUUCAUGGAAUGGGGCAUAGCACACAGUUAGCACUCAGCAAAUGGUGACUAUUGUCAUUGUUCAUUUUCAAAACCACAUACUUACUGAAAUUUGGUUGAUUUAAAGUAAUGUAUGGUCAAAAAAAUUGAAAAGAAGAAAGAAAAGAAAUGUAAGCAGUAAGUAUUUCUUUUGCAUGUUUAUAUAUGGUAAUCUGAACAACUAAUUUAAAGACAACAAUGUGCAGUACAUCAACCAUUGUUGAAUUCCUAUCAUCUUGUUUAGUGAAAUUCUGUAUCAUUUCUAAUUUUUUUUAUUAUUUUGUAUCCUCUAAAAUAAAACAUAACUAAAUAAUGUGUGAUCGCAUGUACUCUUUCACACAUAAUUUUCCUCAAAUGUCUAUCUGGGAAAUUAUCCAUAAUAAUUUUAUUAGUUGGAAUAUUGGCUAGUUUUUCUCUCCACUAUCUCUAUAUGUUUAAGUUUAUGUGUUCAUAUACAGGUUUCUGCCUUACCUGUAUAUUAUUAUAUUCUGUAUUUUGCAUUUACAACCAAAAACUAUGACCAGCACAGUGAACUUUAUGUUUACUUCAAAAAAAAAAGUUUGAGUUCAAUAUUUAAUAUUUUAUACCUCACUAUGCAAACAAUGUUUUUAUGAUGUGCAGUGUGGAUUUAUGUUUUCUUUAUCUAGUUAACUGUUUGAUGAUGACUAUAAUUAUCAUUUUUAAAUUUCCAGCUGCAUAAGUUUUACCCUAACUCUACUAUCUCAUUUGGAGAAAAGGUGAUGGCCCAAAAAGAAAAUAAAAACAGAAAUGAGAAUUAGAAAGGGAAGGAAAAAACUCUGAACAAAUAGUCAUUCUCUUGGGGCUGGGGAUUUAGCUCGGCAGCACAUCGCCUGCCUGGCAAGUGAAAGGUCGUGAGUUCGAUUCUUGGUACUGGAAAAAGAAAAACAAAAAAAAAAAAAAAAAUAGUCAUUCUCAGAGGUUAAACCAUCUCAUUAGAACAAGACAUUUUUAGGAAUAAAACAUUAAUUCAUUUUUGAAUGAAGAAUCUCUCAGUUUAGUAAAAUACUAUAUUUUAAGGAAAACAAUACAACAAUAUUUUCACUAAGAGAAAUAAACAAAUACAGUAUCAGAUUUUCAAAAGAGUUAGCAUAAUAAAACAAAAUGGAAUAAAAUCCAUCAACAAUAGAAAUUAUACAGUCACUGGCUCUUUUUCAUUCUAAAAGUCAGUCUUGUAAGCUUGGGAAAUUUCAAUCUAAUGUCACAAUUUCACAUCUUGACAAUAAUAACAUUGAGGGCUCUCUAAAAUUUUUAAUUUAGCUUUUGUUUUUAUUUUGAACAAUUUACAUUGAGUCUCCAUAAUUUUUUUUUUUUUUUUUUUUUUUUUUUUUUUGUACCAGGAAUUGAGCUCAGGACCUUGUGCUUGCCAGGCAAGUGCUGUGCCACUGAGGUAUAGCCCUAGUCCUCCAUAAUUCUUAUUAGUGUCUUGCUAUAAAUAAUAUCUUCAGUGGAUUUAUCAGCUGGAUUUUAAUAGAACAUGACUAUCAAACUGGACAAUAUUUGAAACUAUGCAAAAUCAAGGUGAUGAUGCUGAGAUCUUUUCCCAAAUGUUAAAUUAUUUUAUGAAAUAGCUACAUGUUACAAAAAGAAGUGGCAAUUUGAUAGCUUUUUAUGUGUCCCCUAGUAAUCAGGUUGGCUUUAUGAAUAAACUUCUAUCUACCACAAAAGUGAUAACCACAUCUGUUUAAAUUAAUACCUCUGUGUCUAACAUUUUCUUUUCAUGAAUCUUAUUAUAUCUUAAACUAUUCACUUAUCUCAGAUGAAUACAGGAACUGACAUGUGAUUCUAGAUUUAUAAGAGAUAUAUUUAAGAGGACAGAGGGUUUUUCUUUUUGUGGGAUCUAAAACUGACUUGAAAGCAGAUAUGAACUCAAAACACUCCCUUGCAUUCAGAUAUACAAAGUAUCUCUUACAUUUUCAGAAGUGUCUAUCAUGUCAAACAGCUGUACUACAACAUCAGAUUUAUAAGUAGAUGUUUUUAAUUAAGAACAAUAGAUCUGAAGCAUCAAGGAUCCCCACAUCAAAGCUUUUCAACAAUAAAAUCUUUCUCUAGCUACUUGACAUAUAUAUUGUUCACAUUUUGAAAGCAUUUCCAUAUUUUAACCACUUAUAUUUACAUCUGAC
ensembl:lincRNA uncharacterized LOC106148768